rnacentral:rRNA from 1 species
UACGUAGGGGGCAAGCGUUGUCCGGAUUUAUUGGGCGUAAAGAGCGUGUAGGCGGCCAGGUAGGUCUGCUGUGAAAACUCGAGGCUUAACCUCGAGCUGUCGGCGGAAACCAUCCGGCUAGAGUCCGGAAGAGGAGAAUGGAAUUCCCGGUGUAGCGGUGAAAUGCGCAGAUAUCAGGAAGAACACCCGUGGCGAAGGCGGCUCUCUGGGACGGUACUGACGCUGAGACGCGAAAGCGUGGGGAGCGAACAGG